UCAAAUUGAACAUAAAACAAGAAAAAACACAACAAAGACUUGAACUUUAACAACUAAUGAACACAAACAAAAGGUCAACUCUUCAAAAAACAAAACUUUAAGUACCAUUCUUGAUUUACAAAACUGCAAACACAUAGUAUAUAACAUCAAAAAUGAAAAUUUUAAUUACCUUCAUAGUGACAAUUCCCAAGCAUCUUUUCCAAGAUCCUAAGACAAGUGGGAUCAUCAUCAACAACAAGUACUCUUAAACCUGCUGGAAACUAUUUCCAAGAAACACUAGAACUAGCACUACCAAGAUUCAUAUUUUCUUCAAAUUUUUUUCCAACAAAUUUACAUGUAAAUAUGUAAUGAAAAAUGGAAAAAAAGAAAAUACCCUUAGACCAACAGGAACAAAAGUAUCUUAAAAGUUAGUAGUACUAGUACAUAUCUCAAUUGGUACAUCCAUAUGGAAUCAUAUCAGUAAGAAAAUUGCAAAAAGAGAGACAAGGAGAUUCUUUAUUUAUUUUAAAGAAA